UGGGGUGUCGUCCAAUUGGCAGGACGCCUGAUUCUGGAUCAGGAGGUUGUAGGUUCGAGUCCUACCACCCCAGCCA
rnacentral:tRNA from 1 species